rnacentral:rRNA from 1 species
UACGUAGGGUCCGAGCGUUGUCCGGAAUUAUUGGGCGUAAAGGGCUCGUAGGCGGUUUGUCGCGUCGGGAGUGAAAACCUACAGCUUAACUGUGGGCUUGCUUUCGAUACGGGCAGACUUGAGGCAUGCAGGGGGAGAACGGAAUUCCUGGUGUAGCGGUGGAAAUGCGCAGAUAUCAGGAGGAACACCGGUGGCGAAGGCGGUUCUCUGGGCAUGUUCUGACGCUGAGGAGCGAAAGUGUGGGGAGCGAACAGG